rnacentral:rRNA from 2 species
AAAUUGAAGAGUUUGAUCAUGGCUCAGAUUGAACGCUGGCGGCAGGCCUAACACAUGCAAGUCGAACGGUAACAGGAAGCAGCUUGCUGCUUCGCUGACGAGUGGCGGACGGGUGAGUAAUGUCUGGGAAACUGCCUGAUGGAGGGGGAUAACUACUGGAAACGGUGGCUAAUACCGCAUAACGUCGCAAGACCAAAGAGGGGGACCUUCGGGCCUCUUGCCAUCAGAUGUGCCCAGAUGGGAUUAGCUUGUUGGUGAGGUAACGGCUCACCAAGGCGACGAUCCCUAGCUGGUCUGAGAGGAUGACCAGCCACACUGGAACUGAGACACGGUCCAGACUCCUACGGGAGGCAGCAGUGGGGAAUAUUGCACAAUGGGCGCAAGCCUGAUGCAGCCAUGCCGCGUGUAUG